rnacentral:rRNA from 1 species
UACCCGAAUGGGGAAACCCAGUGUGAUUCGUCACACUAUCAUUAACUGAAUCCAUAGGUUAAUGAGGCGAACCGGGGGAACUGAAACAUCUAAGUACCCCGAGGAAAAGAAAUCAACCGAGAUUCCCCCAGUAGCGGCGAGCGAACGGGGAGGAGCCCAGAGCCUGAAUCAGCAUGUGUGUUAGUGGAAGCGUCUGGAAAGGCGCGCGAUACAGGGUGACAGCCCCGUACACAAAAGCGCAUGUGCUGUGAGCUCGAUGAGUAGGGCGGGACACGUGGUAUCCUGUCUGAAUAUGGGGGGACCAUCCUCCAAGGCUAAAUACUCCUGACUGACCGAUAGUGAACCAGUACCGUGAGGGAAAGGCGAAAAGAACCCCGGCGAGGGGAGUGAAAAAGAACCUGAAACCGUGU